GAUGAACGCUGGCGGCGUGCCUAAUACAUGCCAGUCGAGCGAACAGACGAGGAGCUUGCUCCUCUGACGUUAGCGGCGGACGGGUGAGUAACACGUGGAUAACCUACCUAAAGACUGGGAUAACUUCGGGAAACCGGAGCUAAUACCGGAUAAUAUAUUGAACCGCAUGGUUCAAUAGUGAAAGACGGUUUUGCUGUCACUUAUAGAUGGAUCCGCGCCGCAUUAGCUAGUUGGUAAGGUAACGGCUUACCAAGGCAACGAUGCGUAGCCGACCUGAGAGGGUGAUCGGCCACACUGGAACUGAGACACGGUCCAGACUCCUACGGGAGGCAGCAGUAGGGAAUCUUCCGCAAUGGGCGAAAGCCUGACGGAGCAACGCCGCGUGAGUGAUGAAGGUCUUCGGAUCGUAAAACUCUGUUAUUAGGGAAGAACAAAUGUGUAAGUAACUAUGCACGUCUUGACGGUACCUAAUCAGAAAGCCACGGCUAACUACGUG
rnacentral:rRNA from 1 species